UACGUAGGGGGCAAGCGUUGUCCGGAUUUAUUGGGCGUAAAGAGCGUGUAGGCGGCCAGGGAGGUCCGUUGUGAAAACUCGAGGCUCAACCUCGAGACGCCGAUGGAAACCCCCUGGCUAGAGUCCGGAAGAGGAGAGUGGAAUUCCUGGUGUAGCGGUGAAAUGCGCAGAUAUCAGGAGGAACACCAAUGGCGAAGGCAGCUCGCUGGGACGGUACUGACGCUGAGACGCGAAAGCGUGGGGAGCGAACCGG
rnacentral:rRNA from 1 species